rnacentral:rRNA from 1 species
UACGUAGGUGGCAAGCGUUGUCCGGAAUUAUUGGGCGUAAAGCGCGCGCAGGCGGCCUUUUAAGUCUGAUGUGAAAGCCCACGGCUCAACCGUGGAAGGUCAUUGGAAACUGAAAGGCUUGAGUACAGAAGAGGAAAGCGGAAUUCCACGUGUAGCGGUGAAAUGCGUAGAGAUGUGGAGGAACACCAGUAGCGAAGGCGGCUUUCUGGUCUGUAACUGACGCUGAGGCGCGAAAGCGUGGGGAGCAAACAGG